GACAGAGGAGGCAAGCGUUGUCCGGAUUAACUGGGCGUAAAGCGUCCGCAGGUGGCACGGUCAGUGGGGUGUGAAAGCCGGUGGCUUAACCGCCGGAGGCCAUCCCAAACUGCCGCGCUGGAGUCGGGCAGAGGGUGCCGGAAUUGCCGGUGUAGUGGUGAAAUGCGUAGAGAUCGGAAAGAACACCAACGGCGAAAGCACUCUGCUGGGCCGACACUGACACUGAGAGACGAAAGCUAGGGGAGCGAAUGGG
rnacentral:rRNA from 1 species